GCAAGCUCAGAGAUGCACAGAACAGAAGCUUUGGUGGGGGUGGGUGGAACAGGCAAAGAGAUGAAGGGAGCCAAGAGAAAGAAGAUCCUACAAGUUCUCAUCACAAAGAAGGAAAUUCUGUAACUGUGUAAGAUGAUGGAUGCUAACUGGACUGCUCAUUUCACAUACAGACCAAUACCAAAUCACCAUUUGUACACUUGAAACUAAUAUAAUGGUGUACGUUCAUUAUACGUCAAUGAAAAAUUAAAGAAAAUAAGAUGAA